rnacentral:rRNA from 1 species
UUCGCAAUGCCCGAAAGGGUGACGAAGCGACGCCGCGUGGGUGAGGAAGGCCUUCGGGUUGUAAAGCCCUGUCAGGAGUUAAGAAAUAUAAGUGCGCUAAUAUCGCAUUUAUUUGACGAAGGCUCCAAAGGAAGCCACGGCUAACUCUGUGCCAGCAGCCGCGGUAAUACAGAGGUGGCGAGCGUUGUUCGGUAUUAUUGGGCGUAAAGAGCACGUAGGUGGUUUUGUAAGUCAGGUGUGAAAGCCUUCUGUUCAACGGAAGAAUUGCAUUUGAAACUGCAAGUCUUGAGUGUAGGAGGGGAGAAUGGAACUUCUGGUGGAGCGGUGAAAUGCGUAGAUAUCAGAAGGAACGCCGGCGGCGAAAGCGAUUCUCUGGCCUAUUACUGACACUCAGUGUGCGAAAGCUAGGGGAGCAAACGGGAUUAGAUACCCCGGUAGUCCUAGCCGUAAACGAUGGGCACUAAGUAGAGGGGUUUU